UCCAUCCAUGUUGCAAAUGACAAGAUUUCCUUCUUAUGGCUGAACAAUAUCCAUACACACAUGCAUACACACCCAUGUAUUUACACACACACUUCUUUAUCCAAAUGAUACUUCCAAGGUGAACUUCGCACAUUGUUUUCCAGAUACUUGCGGUGUCUUCCCUAUAAAUUGGACAAUGCUUCCCACUUUUCUGCCCUUCUAGCCAUCUUGUCUCCAUUACCAUUUACCUGAGAAUAGCGAUACGUACUAGCUAUAGAUACCUAACGGAAAACUAGCACCAAGAAAUGAGGAAGCCAAAGCCAAGUGUUUUAAAUUCCUUUUAGAUCCAUUGCUCACUCUUAAUACCCAGAGCAUGUAGAUUCUUCUUUUCUUGGCUGCUUCUAGAAGCUUGCUAGGUGUGGAAGCAACAUACCCCACUGUAGUUCCUGGUACUGAUUACUCCAAAGGAAUUUUUUUUUCUUGCCUCCCCUCCCACCCACCUACAGGACUGUGGGGAUCUGGGCUCUGGGUGUUGACAGGACCUCCACAGUGUUGCCCUUGGUGAGUUGGAAAACUGACCAUAAAGUUUGCAAGUGUGGAGUCAUGAACCUGGCUUCAAAUCCCAGCUGUGCCAUGUACCAGCUGGGCAAAUUACAUCUGCCUUAAGGUCAGCAGUAAGGAUUGGAAAGCAUUUGUAUAAACAGCCUAGGAUAGUGUCUGGAAUGUUACUGACACAUCACGGGCACCAGUUGCACAAGUCACAGAAGUGGAUGCAGUAUUGGAGGCCAGUUCAUCAUUCAUUCAUCUUAUUCCAAGUAUCCCUGCUCUUUUUCUCCCUGAGUACUUUUCAGGAGAUGUGAAAUAAUUUAAUUCAAUCAAUUAAAAAUUGUGAUCAAACAUCUACUGAGUGCCAGGCCAUGUAAAUAGAGGACUGAACAAAACAAAGGGAAUCCACAAUGCUAAGUACUACAGACAUGGAGGGUAAGGUGAUGGGGCAUGACAGCGGCAGGAGAGAAGGAGGAACACCAGAAGGGCUCAGGGAAAGUGUGUCCAAAGAAGUAACAUUUGAGCAGACAUCUAAAGAGCUGGAGGGAGACAGUCCUGUUGGGAAUUGGCAAAACAGCAUUUGUCCAGGCAGUUGGAACCUGUGCAGAGGCUCUGAAGUAAGAGCAGUUUCACACAGUCAAGGGUCAGCAAGGAGGCCAGUGGGCUAGAGGAGAGUGAGCCAAGGAGAGGAGGCCGGAGGGGCAUUGGAUCCCAGAGACCUCAGUGGUCCAGGUGUAAGUCAGCAUCUUCAUUGUACACGUGGGGAGGAAAAGGUCAAGCCAAUCUAGUUCUAAAACCUAAAUUGAAACCACUUUGUGCUGCAGUCCCUGGAGUUAUGCAAGGUGUAGUUUGUGUAGCUACACAGUCCCCUUACUUCUGAUCACAUGCUAUUUCACUUCCUUUUUCUUUUACUUUUUUUCUUAUAAAAAAAAAGUGUUUAUUGGGAUGGUUCCCACUCAUCUUGGUUCAGAGUGCUGCCUCUGUCUGAAGGAGCCACCUUAUGCAAGUUUUGCCUUUCCUCCUGUGGGCUGGCAGAGGACAGUGGAGCAGCUGCUGUUUGCACCUGGCUACAGAGAGUGCUGACUGUAUAGCCUGGCGGGCACUCCACAUCCACGGAGCGCAGGAACAGGGGCUGUGCAUCGGGCGCUUCUUGUGCUUUUCUUCUCUCCUGCAGAGGGAUGACGGAGAUCUUUGCAUGAGGCAAGUUCUAGUGGGAGGUCAUCCCUGCCGGAAAGGUCAUCCCCUUUGCAAAGGAAGGGCUCUUCCUUCUGAGUACCAGCUGCCAUUUAGACCCAGCACGAGCUAGUAUCCCAUGUUCACCAAGGGCAAAAGAACUGCUCUCUUCCCCUCACUUGGGCUGGGUGGAAAUGACACAGAGUUGGAAACCAAAUGGUCAGGACUCAGCUUCCUCAUCUCAUGUUUGGUGAAUUUUGGCAAGCCUCUCAGCCCUUUGGGGCUCAAUUCCUCACCUGAAGGGAAAUGCAGGGUAAGUUUUACCCCUGCCAGGCUCGCGCUAGUAAAGCUGCUUCUAGCUGGGUGAGGGCACCUAAACUUAUGUGUCUUCAUUGUCAACACCAGGUGGCGCUGUGCUCUUUGCUUUUCAACUUGAAAUUUUCCUUGGGUUUGCCAUGUAUAUUAGUAUUGGCCAGAAAAGUCUGUAUCAUUUAUUUUCUUAAAUCUAAACAGUUUGUGGAAUUCCAGCCCAACAGUAUCUGUUGCUGCCAGGAGCAAAGAAGAAAAGAAAACAACAUGCUGUUUAGGCCCCAGGGAGCAAGUUGUAAGAUGAGGAAACUGAGGCAUCUAGAGAGAGAGGAAGUGCCUUGCCUUGCAGACGGCAGUGCCAGUGUUCAAACUCAAGCCUGUCUGACUCAAGAUUCAUGUUCUUUCUGUUGUGUCCACAGCCUUGAUUUAAAGAUGUGCCUAUGAAACUGUCACCCCAAUCAACAUGACCUUAGAUCUUACCCAAGAGACUUGUCCAGGAUCAUAUAUCAGGGACCACUGGAUGCCACACCUGUCCUUGAACCUCUGCAACCUCCAGCUAUGCCUGCUGACAAUGAAGACCUGCUGCCUUUGUGCUGACUUCCUUGUACAGCCCUGAAAGUCCCCCAAAAGCUGUGUGAUUAUUCUUUCUUUGUGUACCAGCCUCACCCCAAGGAUGGGAGUGUCCAGAGGGCAGGGACUUGCUGUCAUUAUGAGCAUCCUCCAGUCUUCCACACUUGUGCCCAACAGGCAUGAGUCAACUGGGCACGUUGAUGCAUCAGUUCAUUUUUCCUACCAGGAAGCAUUCAGGGGUGUUGCAAGAUGCUUAUACCUUUCAGUUUUGUUUGGGACAGUGGCCCCAGCCCCUGAGCCAACCCCAUUAGGUUCUGGUUGUAGGGCUGGCAGAAACUGGUAGGGGCACUGUCUGCCCCCUGGGGAAUUGUGCUGUUAUACAGGACAGUAGGAGUGGUGAAAUCAGGAAGCCCAGGUCAGAAAGCAAUGAAAUGCUGGCCAGAACACAUGGUCCUGAAAGGGAAAAUCAAUCACACAGUGGGCUCAGAAGAUUUCAGAAAGUGGAGCUUGAGGGGAACCUGGGUGGCUCAGUUGGUUAAGCGUUUGACUCUUGAUUUCAGCUCAGGUCAUGACCUCAUGGUUGUGAGGUGGAGCUCUGUGUUGGACUCUGUGCUGACAGCAUGGAGCUUGCUCGGGAUUCUCUCUGUCCCUCUCUUUCUGUCCCUCCCUUGAUCGUGCUCUCUCUCUGUCUCAAAAUAAAUAAAAAUUUAAAAGAAGAAGAAAGAAAACAGAGCUUGCUUGGGCAAGAGGUACAGGGCUAAGACUGAAUUAAGCAAAGGUGUAGGAGGGUCUCUUGAGGUUGGUGUGCUGGAAAGACCCGUGGGCGGACAUGGUGUGUGUCUGUUACAUAAUUUCCCAAUGGUCAUUGAACUUGGGCCGAGCACCAAGACCAAGAUCCUCCUUCCUCCCCCUUCCUUCCAGGCAGCCAGAAAGCCCAGGGUCUCAGCUGAGUGGAUUAACUACUAAAUCAUCACAUAAGAAGCCCAACUUAAGACUUAGGGGAUGGCACCAAGUCUGGAUUUUGCUAGAACUUCUCUCAUCCACUGCCAAGACAGCUUCCUUUGAGGACGGCCCUAACCACAUGUCGGCCAUGCCUCACUUUGGUGUCAGGAUGGCUGUGCCCGCAGCCCCUUCUAUGGACUGACACUUGCCUGACAGUCCAGCCCUGAGAUCUGGGAUUUUCCAUCUUUUUGUUCCCAGAUGGCCCCAUCUGAGGCCCUAGACCUUUAGGAAUGUGUUUUGCCUAGGUCCCAGGGGUGACACUAAUGAGUUCUGAGUUCCCUUCCGUUCUCUCUGGCUGGGAUGUGGUUCUGAGUGUGGGUGGAGGAAUGCUUGAGUGUGGUUCUUGUUUGCAUCUUUGGAAAUCCUUUGGCAGGAAAGGAGGCCGGGACUCAGUGUCUAUUCUAACAGGAGCUGCUUUGGGGGUUCUAGUCGACAGGGAGGUGGGUCUUUGAAGAACUGGGGAGGAAGAAGAGUUGGUUUUUGUUUCUACUCCAACCCCUACUUUUGUUUCAUGCCAUUGCAUUGCCUCUCUCAGGGGUAGUUAAAAUCUUAUUUUUAAGCAGGUUUCUGGUCCACCACCAUUUAUUGUGUGGCCUGGGGCCACCUACUGUGCCUCAGAUACCUCACCUGGCUGUGCUGCUUCCAGCUUAGUGAUUCGAAGCUUCUCUGAGCUCUAAACCUGCCAGUCUCUGAAAAGAAACCAUAAUUAUCCUCACUUUCCAAAAACAAAGGACAAGAGCCGAUGUGCAAUUGGUUAUCCCUUCUUCCCCAACGGUGAGCAUGGUUUCUCAGCAGGCAGAAUUAGCAUGAUGGUCUCCCAGGCUGUAGAGAGGAAGAAA